AACUUUGCAAUUCUUUUUCAGAGAUGCUAAACAUCUGUCUUGUAGUCUGGUAUUUGUUUACGCAUGUGGUCUACAAACGUGCAUGUAUCUGUUGUGGUGUUCUGGCUUGUGACAUUUUGUUGAAUUGUGACAAGUUAUUUGUGUUCUGAAUUUGCCUAAACUUGUGCAUUGAAAAUGGCUUCAGGCCUUGAAGGUUAUUUAAAUCGUACAGUGUCAGUAAUAACAGCCGAUGGGCGUAAUUUUGUGGGAACCUUGAAAGGUUUCGACCAGACAAUUAAUCUUAUAUUGGAUGAAAGUCACGAAAGGGUAUAUAGCAAUGUGCAAGGCGUUGAGCAAGUCGUUCUCGGACUUCACAUCAUCCGCGGAGACAAUGUGGCCAUUGUGGGUGAAAUUGACGACCACCUAGACUCGAGAUUGGAUUUAUCGAGUAUUCGGGCCGAACCACUAAACGCAGUGGUCCAUUGAAGCCCAUAUUUGACGCUGUUGAAAUUAUGCUUUUUUAAACGACUGUAACGUAAAAUAGUGUGUAAAAUAACUACGACAUUGUGGUAAAAUAUGAAAGUCGUACAGUUCUGAAGUAUUCAGUGUUUGUUCAAAAAACUGUAAUCAUAUGGCUUGAAUGUUCGAUGGUUUGCAAUCACUUUCGUGUGGCCAAAAAUAUUAAUAACACCUUUUAAAAAAUGCAGAUGGGUCUCUAUUAUUGCAAAUAUGCCUACAUCGUGGAUGUAAAAGAGAUUUUCCGUUGGUUAUAACUGUCCAAACCAUUAAACUUCAAUCAAAAGUCAAGUGCUUCCGGGUGGCAAAUAGAACGUGACAUGUCUGCAUUGCAGUAGCAUCAUUAAAACACCAAAAUAAAUCAUAUUUCCGUUUCAUCUAUGCAACCGGACUUUCAGGGCAACAACAUAUUACAACUUGCAGACUAAUCAGCUAAUGCAGUGACCCAUUUGCGAGUGAAGUUAUUUGACUUGAUUCGGAGUCCACUUCUUCUGUGCUAUAAGAAAAUUGUGUGUCUUCCCAACUUUCUAAUGAUACUGAGAACAAAACUGGGGGUACUAAUUGCCGCAUCAGCAAAAAUGCACAUAAACACACAAAUUGUGUAUAUUAUGUAAGUACUAGUUUAUUUAGGAUUUCAUUAUGUGAAAACAUUUUUUUAUGAACUGUGAAAAGAUUUUCCUCCAACUAUCACAUUCACUGUUACAUUAUGAAUGUUGAAUAUAUCGUUGACCAAAAACUUUACAGUUCUUAGAUAAUAGAAAUUGUUAAAAUUGAGUGUCAUCAAAAGUAUUCAGGAAUUUCUUUACUAAUAAUCUGCUGAGUAGGAGUGGAAGAUAUCAAUUAGUCAGUACUGUUCUUUAUUUUUGUAUUCCAUAGCUUUUUUCUCUCCCCCAUAUAUAUUAAAUUUGGAGAAAGUAUAGACUAUAUUGAAAAAUGUUCCUUCUUACAAAAUGCUUAUGAACUAGGUACACGUUUCUACAAAAGUAUACAGUGCUCAGUUUUGAAACAGGGUGAAAUACAACAUGUUUGUAUAAAUAUCUUUGUGGAUGUCUUAUAUCUGUUUUUUGUGGCUUCAAAAGAAAGUCAUAGCCCUGAAAUCUUGUUCCACAUAGCCACUAUAGAAAUAGUAUGAUCAUUUUUUACUAGUCUCCCUGUACGUAUGCCAGACUGAGUACCGGCCUUUAUUUAUUUGUCCCAUAGUUCACUUACAUGAAAGAGGCCUAUAGUCUAAGCAAAAUACAUUUAUGCAACACAUGAAAUAAUAUCCACUUUCUAAUUCUGUAUCCAUGUUACACUUUCAAAAAUGUAUGACAUUAAUUUUAUAAAAUUAUUAACUUGAAAAAAGUUAAUAGCAACAUGGCUGUAUUGUAACUGAAUACUGAGCUUCUCUUGUCAAAACAUGUACCUGAUUAUGAGUCACAUUUGGAAAACCUGAUAAAUCACACUUUCUCCACUCUGCUUUUACACCAGAAGACUGUAAAGAAUAAUAAUUCCUUUAAAAAACUGAUAUUUUCAAUAUUCAGAAUCAAUUUGCAGUUGAAAAAAAUAUACACAACAAAAUCAUAAUAUGCCAACACUACUUGAUUGAAAGGAUAUUCAGUGAGUUAAAUUUGUAAGUCAACAUUUUAUUGCGAUCAUUUAUUUACAUCAUCACAUAUUGAGGACAACCCAUUUUGCUGUACAGCCAGUGGGAGAGAAGGUUGUCACACCAUGAAUAACUUUGAUUUCAACCACUGAAUGGAAAGACUAGAAUUGUAAUUGUACAAAAUGAAAUUUACAUCAACAGAAAUUUGAUGUGUUUAUUACAAUAAAGUUUGGAGAAGAAUGUUGUACAUGAAAUUAAAUAUUUUGUGAUAAUUUGUUUGUGAGAGACAAUAAGUGUAACAUAUUAUUCCAGAAAUUCCAUGUUUUUUUGUCUUGUGGUACAUAAAAGUUCAGUCUCAAGCAUAAUGUGUGCUGUAAAAUUUUAGUGAAAUAAAAACUUUGUAUUUUAAUAAUUAUUGGCAGAUCAGUAUCGUGGGUUGUAUUUGCUAAUAUGUUUUGCUUCCGGUAAGUCCAUAAAGUACAUUCUGUUAAAAAUAACUCAGAAAAGGCUUUGCACCUUCCCCACGACUUGCUCAGGAUGAGAUUUUUUUCUCUCCCCUGCGGAGAACCUCUUUCUCAAUAUUCUUUUGGCUACAGGAAAUCAAAAUAUACAACCACCUGUGCAGCUGAGAUGAAAGUAAAUCUGGAUUCUAAGUGCAGUUCUGUGGUGCAUAUCGGUCUCCAAUCAUGAAUCGGACAGUGUAGCUUGUAAAAAUUUUUCCACUUCAUAAUGGCUUUUUACAGCAAGCAGUAUGUAUGAUAUGAAGAUAGAGGACUGCUUGCUUUUUCAUACAAUUCGACUUGUGUUAGCUGUUCAGUAUUGUCAGCUCAAGCUAGGACUGUGUGCAAAUUGUUACUUUUGGCAAUAAGUUUCAUCAAUAAGGGAAGGUGCCUGUCUGGCCAGUGCAACUACAGCAAUGCCAUUCAAACACUCAUCCAUUAUAGUGAGACACAAGACACUGAAUAUCAGCCUUGAAGUGGUCACCCACAGUCGCUAAUGCUAGCUGUUUGUGACCUGCACAGUAUGAGUCAUGGGUAGUGAUGUAAAAUGCCUGGGCAUUUAUAGGUUGGGCUAAAUGCCCAGGGAUUUAUGCAUUUUAAAGAUUAAA